rnacentral:rRNA from 1 species
GGAGCAAUUACGCGUGAGGGAGGAAGGAUAUCGGGUCGUAAACCUCUUUUGUCAAGGAAGAAGUUCCGACGGUACUUGAGGAAUCAGCAUCGGCUAACUCCGUGCCAGCAGCCGCGGUAAUACGGAGGAUGCAAGCGUUAUCCGGAAUGAUUGGGCGUAAAGCGUCCGCAGGUGGUGGUGUGUGUCUAUUGUCAAAGCAUCAUGCUUAACAUGAUAAAGGCAGUAGAAACUACACGACUAGAGUGCGUUCGGGGCAGAGGGAAUUCCUGGUGUAGCGGUGUAAUGAGAUAGAGAUCAGGACGCCCAGUAGUCAUGGAAAUGUUCCGCAGUCGCAUAGAUANACUAGUAGUCAUAGCACUGACC